rnacentral:lncRNA from 1 species
CCCCAGGCCUGGGCGCUGUCACCUGGUCCCCACUGGCCCCCGGGCCCCCCCUGGAUGAGGAGACCCCCGGAAACGCCCCGGCCAAGGGCCGGCCCCGCUGCCCGGUGGCUCCGGGGGAGCUGCAGCCGCUGGCCCAGAAGUUGGGGUGCUCCGAGAGACAGCUGGGCAUCGGUGAGGGGACACCGGGGACACCGGGGGUGGCACUGGGGACAUCACUGGGGACACCGGGGACAUCACUGGGGACACUGGGGACACCACUGGGGAUGGCACUGGGACACUGGGGACACCGGGGGUGGCACUGGGGACACUGGGGACACCGGGGUUGGCAUUGGGGACAUUGGGGAUGGCACUGGGGACAUCACUGGGGACACUGGGGAUGGAACUGGGGACACUGGGGGUGGCACUGGGGACACUGGGGACACUGGGGAUGGAAUUGGGGACUCCACUGGGACAUUGGGGACACUGGGGACAUCACUGGGGACACUGGGGGUGGCACUGGGGACACCACUGGGACAUUGGGGACACUGGGGACAUCACUGGGGACACUAGGGGUGGCACUGGGGACACCACUGGGACAUUGGGGACACUGGGGACAUCACUGGGGAUGGCACUGGGGACACUGGGGACACUGGAGCCAUCACCAGGGACAUUGGGGACAUUGGGGACAUCACCGGUGAGAUCACCCGGGACUCUGGGGGGCUGGGGGCGUGACACCAGGGUGGCCCCAGGGGUGACGUCAUUGCUGUCCCCAGCCUGGUGCCUGCAGCUGGAGGGUGCUGGGGGUGACACUGGGGUGACAGGAGGUGACACUGAUGGGGUGGGUGGGUGACACAGGUGGCACUGAGGUGACACUGAAGUGACCCAGGGGUGACACUGAGGUGACAUUGAUGGGGUGGGUGACACUCAGGGUGACACAGGUGGCACUGAGGUGACACAGGGGUGACACAGGGGUGACACAGAGAUGACACAGAGGUGACACAGGGUGACACAUUGUCCCUGUCCCCAGCCUGGUCCCUGCGGCUCGAGGGCGUUCAGGGGUGACACAGAGGUGACAUUGAUGGGGUGGGUGACACUGAGGUGACACUCAGGGUGACACAGGGGUGACACAGGGGUGACACAGAGGUGACACAGAGGUGACAUUGAUGGGGUGGGUGACACUCAGGGUGACACAGGGUGACACUGGGGUGACACUGAGGUGACACAGGGUGACAGGAGGUGACAUUGAUGGGGUGGGUGACACUCAGGGUGACACUCAGGGUGACACAGGGGUGACACAGAGGUGACACAGGGGUGACACAGGGUGACACAUUGUCCCUGUCCCUGUCCCCAGCCUGGUCCCUGCGGCUCG